GAUAAAAUGCAAACAGUCAUACAAAUUUGUUAACCUUGUUAUCCACUGCAGUUCGGUUUCAGUACCCAUUGUGGGUACCAAAAACCAUGGAUAUUCAAAUACCAUGAUAUGUUUUGGUGUAAUAAAAUGAUGUUCCUUAAAGACUAUGAUAAAAUCAAAGUUUCCUGUUUUGGAAAUCCAUGGAUGCGGAACGUGUGGAUAUCGAGAUCCAUCUGUACAUUAAAUCACCAAAAGGUGUGUUAACAAAACAGACCAAACUUGGAUUUGGGGAUAAAACACUGAAAACUAUAGAAAGUGGGAUGCAUAGCACCAUAAAUCUGUUAAUGAUGCACAUUUGAGCAAUAAGAAGACUGCAGAAGAACAAAACAUUGACUUGAUUAUAUAUCUGUUCUUUUCUGCAGGGUUUUAUACCUACCUGCAGGUGUAUAUUUGUAAAACUGGCUGCACAAAAACAAUCCCUGUGCAAUUAAGAGUGCUUUCUUUGUCGUAUUUUAUCAUACUCACUGUAUUGUAUUACUCACUGGUAAAUCUGGGGUUGUGAGGGGGAGAAAAAUGAAAUGGAGAAAUUGGACUUAUGGCAAACUCCAGAAUUAAUUGUAGCAAUUCAUCUGGUUGAGCAGGCGUUGAGGAGCAGAACGCACAAGGGAGCGGACCCAGAGAACAAAGGGAGAAUGGAGCUAGGAGGAAAUCUGCUCAUCCCUCAUUAAAAAUUUGGUACGAUUAUUGGGAACAAAUAUAGAAUCCCAUAGGGAACAGGGAACAGCCCAUGGGCAAUUGGUUGGCAGAGACGGAUGUAAACAACAGAAGGGCUGUCAGCUCCGGUGAAUGAAAUUCAAUGACCUGUGAAUGACCCAGGAAUGUCUGCCAGAGGAUUUGAAUUGCAUUCUUUGCUGAAAAAUUGGAAAAAUUGACAUGUUUGUGUUCCAGCCGCCAACUACCAUCACCACCAGCUCAAACAGCUGGGGGAUCCUGAAUUGUGAAGUCUCUCCAGCAAGGUGUCGAUUGUGGGAUUGGAACGCCAUGUGCUGACAUUUAGAAAUGGUCUCCGGCGUGUAUGAAAACAGCAUUCAGAAAUUCGAUAACAGAAACCUCAGAACUCAAGGUCUUCUUCUUCUGAACCUGACUUGGUCUGCAGAAAUGAAGGAGGACUUGGCUGGCUAUCAGGCAUCUGCUGUGGCUUCUCCAAAGGCAAGUCUGCUUUGUCUUCAUUGGAAGAUGAACUCCCAAGAAGUAGAGCAUGGCAUUCCCUGGGUCAGAGGCAUAGACCUUCACCUAUGAAUGCUCCACAUGUGUCAUACAUCUUCUUGAUCCUGGCCUGAAUAUAGGUAAAGGUAAAGGUUUCCCUUGACGUUAAGUCCAGUCAUGUCCAACUCUGGUGCUCAUCUCCAUUUCUAAGCCGAAGAGCUGGCGUUGUCCAUAGACACCUCCAAGGUCAUGUGGCUGACAUGACUGCAUGGAAUGCCGUUACCUUCCCGUCAGAGCGGUAUCUAUUGAUCUACUCGCAUUUGCAUGUUUUUGAACUGCUAGAUUGGUAGAAGCUGGAGCUAACAGCGGGCACUCACUCCGCUCCCUUCUGGUGACUCAGUGUGUUAAAGCGCUGAGCUGCUGAACUUGCAGACCGAAAGGUUCCAGGUUUCAAUCCAGCCUGAAUAUAAGAAUUAGCUAAUCCUCACAGAUCUAUGAGGCUAGAAUAUGAAGCCCUUCCUCUGUCUUAAAAUGGGUUUCUACCCUUGUCCAAACUCUUAUCUGGGAUGCUGUGAGUCUUUUGGGCUGGAUGGCCAUGUUCUAGAAGCUUUCUCUCCUGAUGUUUUACCCAUAUCUGUGGCAGGCAUCCUCAGAGCUGUGAGGUUUAAGAAACACACUAGUGGCUGCCAGAUGAAAUCUACCCUGUUUUCCCUAAAAUAAGACAUCCCCAGAAAAUAAGACCUAGUCAAGGUUUUGCUGAAUUGCUAAAUAUAAGGCCUCCCCCGAAAGUAAGACCUAGCAAAGUUUUUGUUUGGAAGCAUCCCCAACGAACAGAACACCAGAGCACACAGGAUUGGUAAAUGUACGUACCAUAGAGUGUUGUACAUGGAAAUAUUGGUAGUAACAAGAAAUUCUUGACAGGAUUCAGUUUGUCUGAUUAUGCUGGUUUGUGAUGACAACUACUGUACAGUAUAUAAUAAAUGUUUAUUCUUUUGUUCAACAAUAAAUGUCAAUUCUUCUUCAUUG